CUCACUGUGGCUUUUAGUGUCCUUCAUCUUUGUACUUGAGGGCUCGAUGCAGUGGUACUUCUGAAUUAGAAACUAAGACUGGUCAUUGGGUUCUUCAUGCCAGGGGAAAAUGGCAGAAAAGUGGGAUACUAUAUAGCUAGGGUGACUAACCAUGCCUAGUAAGAAUACUAUGAUUACUGCUGUGCAGUUAGGGAUCCACUAAGUUCCUAUCAUAUUCCUCCUUUCUUUUAUGUUCUUGGUGGAAAAGGUUAGUGGGAGACCGUUGUCCCUAUGUAGGUAAGACCACUAAGAAUGGAGGCCAUUCAAGAAUCAAGGUUCAGGCUACCCAUCAGGGACAUAGCUAAGGGACUAGCAGAAGGCAAGGAGAUCACAGAAUGGGCAUAAAUACCAGCUCUGGCUUCAGGAGAAGUGGCAGAUAGGAAGAAUAUGGCCUGUUUCCUUGAUUGUUGUGACAUGACUUAGAAAAAAGCAUCUUCUAUCCAUAUUGUUUGUAAAGUGUGUUGUUGAUGGUUAAGUAUUCCUUUUGGACUAUAGACUGAAGCAGAAUUUGAGGGGGAAUAAAUAUUAUCCAAAGUAGAACUCCUCAAAGUGGGGAACUGCAGGCUGGUGCCAGUGUUUGAACUGUUUAUUAUUGGUUCAUGAUGCAAGAAGUAUAGAAAUAGAGUUUUUAAAAUUACUCUGUUACAUUGCUCUCAAGGUUUCUGUGCCUACUGUAUAUAAUAAUAAAAAAAAUCAAGUGCUUCAUUUUAUGUUUAAUUUCAUUUAUCUAGCAAUUCAUCUUUAUUGCAUUUUCCCAGUGAAUUUGUCCAUGACAGAUUAGAAACAAAAAUUUACUGUUCCUUUACUAUAGAUGGUUUGAGAAAUGCUGAUCUUGUUGAGCAGUGUCCUUGUGAAAUCUAUUAUUACUCCUGGAUGCAGCAGCUUGUGUAACUUGGACUGCUUCCCACAGAGAAGGAGCAUCUGGAUUUCUUUUUGCCAUGUUCCAUUACAGAGGCUGCCUCUUUUUGCCAUUCUCCCCCACAUCUGGAAUCCAGCCAAAACGUACCAGAACAAGAUGCUUCUAACAUUUGAGCCCUUUUGUAAGGAUGCUGAUUGCAACUUGGGUGACUUCAGUUUAAUCCAAGGUGGAAGAUUUCUGCUGCUUUUGGGGAAGGAAAUAAAUGUCUAA
rnacentral:lncRNA from 1 species